AAGUCGUAACAAGGUCUCCGUAGGUGAACCUGCGGAGGGAUCAUUACAGAGUGAAGGUAGAAAUACCGACCUCCAACCCAUUGUCGUAAAUCUAUGUUGCCUCGGGGAGGGGAAACCUGACCCGGCGGAUAUCUAUACACUGCAUAUUUGAAUUGUCUGAAUAAAUUUAAUACACAAAACUUUCAACAACGGAUCUCUUGGUUCGGGCAUCGAUGAAGAACGCAGCGAAAUGCGAUAAGUAAUGUGAAUUGCAGAAUUCAGUGAAUCAUCGAAUCUUUGAACGCACAUUGCGCCCCCUGGUAUUCCGGGGGGCAUGCCUGUUCGAGCGUCAUUACACCAAUCAAGUCUGACUUGGUAUUGGCGGAUGUGGUUAACACUGCACCGCUUGAAUCUACCGGCUGUUUACUUAAACAUCAGCGUUGUGCAAACAUUCGCUUGGGACUUUGAGUGAGACACGCCGUUAAACACCUUUCUCAGGUUGACCUCGGAUCAGGUAGGAAUACCCGCUGAACUUAA
rnacentral:rRNA from 1 species